rnacentral:tRNA from 1 species
GGGCCUGUAGCUCAGUUGGUAGAGCGCCUGCUUUGCAUGCAGGAAGUCCGCGGUUCGACUCCGCGCAGGUCCACCA